rnacentral:rRNA from 1 species
UACAGAGGUCCCGAGCGUUGUUCGGAUUCACUGGGCGUAAAGGGUGCGUAGGUGGUGAGGUAAGUCGGAUGUGAAAUCUCCGGGCUCAACCCGGAAAUGGCAUUGGAAACUACCUUGCUGGAGGAUUUGAGGGGGGAUUGGAAUACUUGGUGUAGCAGUGAAAUGCGUAGAUAUCAGGAGGAACACCAAUAGCGAAGGCAGCUCGCUGGGACGGUACUGACGCUAAGGCGCGAAAGCGUGGGGAGCAAACAGG